rnacentral:rRNA from 1 species
GUUCAUCGUACGGAUGUGAAAGCCCCGGGGCUUAACCCCGGGUCUGCAUUCGAUACGGGCUAGCUAGAGUGUGGUAGGGGAGAUCGGAAUUCCUGGUGUAGCGGUGAAAUGCGCAGAUAUCAGGAGGAACACCGGUGGCGAAGGCGGAUCUCUGGGCCAUUACUGACGCUGAGGAGCGAAAGCGUGGGGAGCGAACAGGAUUAGAUACCCUGGUAGUCCACGCCGUAAACGUUGGGAACUAGGUGUUGGCGACAUUCCACGUCGUCGGUGCG